UAUCGGUCGUGAUUUUUGUGCGUGGAAAACGUUUGUUUUCAAUUAAGAUUUCUUCGAAUCUGCGCGCAGAGACAAUUAGUUUCGGUUCCGGUGCGUUUACCACCGGUUAUUGAAAGUGACGGCAAAACUGAUCCGAUCUGUUCGCUACCGGGAGGACAACAAUUACUUUUCGUGUGAGGUGAAUUCUUGCCCUUUUCUACCGGAACCUUAUUUCAAGUUGUCCCAUUCCCGGGCCAGGACCGAUAAAUCGGGAAGAUGAACGACAAAGAGGAAUAAAGUAUGGCAAGAGGCGGACUGACAUAUGUACAUUUUGGUAUUUUUUCCGAUAUGAAAAACUACCGUCAUGGCACCGAGAUGCUAACCAGAUUACGCUGGAUAUUAUCAAUAAAAAAAAAACCACGCCACGGUAUACAUAACAGCCCGGUAUUGGAAAAUGGUCCAUCUUCCGGCCCAUACCCAACACGAAGAUGAAUGCAGGGAAAGUGUUCCGAUUCGCCUCAAAUCUCGGGUGACGGUAAAGGUGUUCAGAUUGCUCCUGGGAAAAAAUUAUCGUUCGAGGCGAAUGUGUGCCCUGAUUCCACAAAUACUACAUUUUCAAAUUGUUAAACACCCAGGCCAACCAGCAGUGCUGAGCCAACAGAAUGGAAAGUUAAACGACGCGGAGGAAUCAGGCGUGAUCAAUGUGGAGCGAAAAAUAUUCUGUUGAUUUUUCCUGAAAGCAGCAGCUCAUCAAAUUGCGAUGGUUAUACCAAUCGAAAAAAAAAGUACGAUUUCCAAAGCAGUGCGGCGAGGGAAGAAAAUCUGGGAAUAUGUUCCUUCAUUCCAAUUUUUACAAUUAAAUCUCCAACGUCCUAACACGAAGCAUCGAAUUGCUACUAUGCGAAGGAUUAACAUAGUCGCUUCCAAGUGUUUAAUGGGAUUUCAGUGGUGGAGAAAUUCCGAACAUCGUGGUUAUAAUAAAAGCCUUAUGAACGCGAUGAUGGAAGACAUAUUUUGAAACCCGCAGAGAAAUGCGAAUAAAAAUAAACAAGAAGAUAAAAAAUCAA